CCUACGGGUGGCUGCAGUGGGGAAUAUUGGGCAAUGGGCGCAAGCCUGACCCAGCAACGCCGCGUGAAGGAAGAAGGCUUUCGGGUUGUAAACUUCUUUUCUCAGGGACGAAGCAAGUGACGGUACCUGAGGAAUAAGCCACGGCUAACUACGUGCCAGCAGCCGCGGUAAUACGUAGGUGGCAAGCGUUAUCCGGAUUUACUGGGUGUAAAGGGCGUGUAGGCGGGGACGAAAGUCAGAUGUGAAAACCACGGGCUCAACCUGUGGGCUGCAUUUGAAACUGUGUUUCUUGAGUACUGGAGAGGGAGCCGGAAUGCCUGGUGUAGCAGUGAAAUGCGUAGAUAUUAGGAGGAACACCAGUGGCGAAGGCGGUCUGCUGGACAGCAACUGACGCUGAGGCGCGAAAGCGUGGGGAGCAAACAGGAUUAGAUACCCCGGUAGUC
rnacentral:rRNA from 1 species